AUUGAACGCUGGCGGCAGGCCUAACACAUGCAAGUCGAGCGAGCGGCGGACGGGUGAGUAAUGUAUGGGGACUGCCCGAUCGAGGGGGAUAACUACUGGAAACGGUAGCUAAUACCGCAUACUAUCGGAUAACCCAUAUGGGAUUAGCUAGUAGGUGAGGUAAUGUCUCCCCUAGGCGACGAUCCCUAGCGGGUCGUAGAGGAUGGUCAGCCAUACGGGGACUGCGACGCGGCCCAGACGCCGACGGAGGCAGCAGUGGGGAAUAUUGCACAAUGGGCGCAAGCCUGAUGCAGCCAUGCCGCGUGUAUGAAGAAGGCCCUAGGGUUGUAAAGUACUUUCAGUCGGGAGGCGUUACCGACAGAAGAAGCACCGGCUAACUCCGUGCCAGCAGCCGCGGUAAUUC
rnacentral:rRNA from 1 species